rnacentral:rRNA from 1 species
AUAAACAACGUGCCCUGAAGACUGGGAUAUACGGUCGAAAGGCCGAGCAAUACCGGAUGUGGCCGAGACUAGGCAUCUAGACUCGAUUAAAUGGUUUUUCGCUUCAGGAGCGGUUUAUGACUCAUCAGCUAGUUGGUAGGGUAAUGGCCUACCAAGGCUACGACGGGUAGGGGGUCUGAGAGGAUGAUCCCCCCGAGUGGGACUGAGACACGGCC